UUGAACGCUGGCGGCAGGCCUAACACAUGCAAGUCGAACGGUAACAGGAAGCAGCUUGCUGUUUCGCUGACGAGUGGCGGACGGGUGAGUAAUGUCUGGGAAACUGCCUGAUGGAGGGGGAUAACUACUGGAAACGGUAGCUAAUACCGCAUAACGUCGCAAGACCAAAGAGGGGGACCUUCGGGCCUCUUGCCAUCGGAUGUGCCCAGAUGGGAUUAGCUAGUAGGUGGGGUAACGGCUCACCUAGGCGACGAUCCCUAGCUGGUCUGAGAGGAUGACCAGCCACACUGGAACUGAGACACGGUCCAGACUCCUACGGGAGGCAGCAGUGGGGAAUAUUGCACAAUGGGCGCAAGCCUGAUGCAGCCAUGCCGCGUGUAUGAAGAAGGCCUUCGGGUUGUAAAGUACUUUCAGCGGGGAGGAAGGGAGUAAAGUUAAUACCUUUGCUCAUUGACGUUACCCGCAGAAGAAGCACCGGCUAACUCCGUGCCAGCAGCCGCGGUAAUACGGAGGGUGCAAGCGUUAAUCGGAAUUACUGGGCGUAAAGCGCACGCAGGCGGUUUGUUAAGUCAGAUGUGAAAUCCCCGGGCUCAACCUGGGAACUGCAUCUGAUACUGGCAAGCUUGAGUCUCGUAGAGGGGGGUAGAAUUCCAGGUGUAGCGGUGAAAUGCGUAGAGAUCUGGAGGAAUACCGGUGGCGAAGGCGGCCCCCUGGACGAAGACUGACGCUCAGGUGCGAAAGCGUGGGGAGCAAACAGGAUUAGAUACCCUGGUAGUCCACGCCGUAAACGAUGUCGACUUGGAGGUUGUGCCCUUGAGGCGUGGCUUCCGGAGCUAACGCGUUAAGUCGACCGCCUGGGGAGUACGGCCGCAAGGUUAAAACUCAAAUGAAUUGACGGGGGCCCGCACAAGCGGUGGAGCAUGUGGUUUAAUUCGAUGCAACGCGAAGAACCUUACCUUGUCUUGACAUCCACGGAAGUUUUCAGAGAUGAGAAUGUGCCUUCGGGAACCGUGAGACAGGUGCUGCAUGGCUGUCGUCAGCUCGUGUUGUGAAAUGUUGGGUUAAGUCCCGCAACGAGCGCAACCCUUAUCCUUUGUUGCCAGCGGUCCGGCCGGGAACUCAAAGGAGACUGCCAGUGAUAAACUGGAGGAAGGUGAGGAUGACGUCAAGUCAUCAUGGCCCUUACGACCAGGGCUACACACGUGCUACAAUGGCGCAUACAAAGAGAAGCGACCUCGCGAGAGCAAGCGGACCUCAUAAAGUGCGUCGUAGUCCGGAUUGGAGUCUGCAACUCGACUCCAUGAAGUCGGAAUCGCUAGUAAUCGUGGAUCAGAAUGCCACGGUGAAUACGUUCCCGGGCCUUGUACACACCGCCCGUCACACCAUGGGAGUGGGUUGCAAAAGAAGUAGGUAGCUUAACCUUCGGGAGGGCGCUUACCACUUUGUGAUUCAUGACUGGGGUG
rnacentral:rRNA from 1 species